AUCCUUUUGUAGUUCAUAGACAUGAGGAUUAGAUUUUCUUGCUCCUGUGUGAGAUAUCAUCUCCCUCAAAACUUGUUACAACAUUGGUACGUUACCCGUCUGAUG